rnacentral:rRNA from 1 species
UCGGGAAUUUUGGGCAAUGGGCGAAAGCCUGACCCAGCAACGCCGCGUGAAGGAUGAAGUAUUUCGGUAUGUAAACUUCGAAAGAAUAGGAAGAAUAAAUGACGGUACUAUUUAUAAGGUCCGGCUAACUACGUGCCAGCAGCCGCGGUAAUACGUAGGGACCAAGCGUUGUUCGGAUUUACUGGGCGUAAAGGGCGCGUAGGCGGCAAUUCAAGUCAUCUGUGAAAUCUCCGGGCUUAACUCGGAACGGUCAGAUGAUACUGCUUUGCUAGAGUGCAGAAGGGGCAAUCGGAAUUCUUGGUGUAGCGGUGAAAUGCGUAGAUAUCAAGAGGAACACCUGAGGUGAAGACGGGUUGCUGGGCUGACACUGACGCUGAGGCGCGAAAGCCAGGGGAGCAAACGGGGAUUAGAUACCCGGUAGUCCCUGAGCGGGCUGGCAAGGCGCAU